rnacentral:rRNA from 1 species
UACGUAGGGUGCGAGCGUUAAUCGGAAUUACUGGGCGUAAAGCGGUUGCGCAGGCGGUUGUGCAAGGACAGAGGUCGAAAUCCCCGGGCUUAACCUGGGAAUGGCCUUUGUGACUGCACGGCUAGAGUGUGUCAGAGGGGGGUAGAAUUCCAACGUGUAGCAGUGAAAUGCGUAGAGAUGUGGAGGAAUACCGAUGGCGAAGGCAGCCCCCUGGGAUAACACUGACGCUCAUGCACGAAAGCGUGGGGAGCAAACAGG